GACCUACGGGGCGCAGCAGUGGGGAAUAUUGCACAAAGGGGGAAACACUGAGGCAGCAACGCCGCGUGAGAGAAGAAGUAUUUCGGUAUGUAAGGCUCUAUCAGCAGGGAAGAAGAAAGACGGUACCUGAAUAAGAAGCCCCGGCUAACUACGUGCCAGCAGCCGCGGUAAUACGUAGGGGGCAAGCGUUAUCCGGAUUUACUGGGUGUAAAGGGAGCGUAGACGGCAUAGCAAGUCUGAAGUGAAAGCCCGUGGCUCAACCGCGGAACUGCUUUGGAAACUGUUAAGCUGGAG
rnacentral:rRNA from 1 species